UACGUAGGGUGCAAGCGUUGUCCGGAAUUAUUGGGCGUAAAGAGCUCGUAGGCGGUCUGUCGCGUCUGCUGUGAAAACUCAGGGCUUAACCCUGAGCUUGCAGUGGGUACGGGCAGACUAGAGUGCGGUAGGGGAGACUGGAAUUCCUGGUGUAGCGGUGAAAUGCGUAGAUAUCAGGAGGAACACCGGUGGCGAAGGCGGGUCUCUGGGCCGUAACUGACGCUGAGGAGCGAAAGCAUGGGGAGCGAACAGG
rnacentral:rRNA from 1 species